rnacentral:rRNA from 1 species
AUUGAACGCUGGCGGCAUGCUUUACACAUGCAAGUCGAACGGCAGCGCGGACUUCGGUCUGGCGGCGAGUGGCGAACGGGUGAGUAAUACAUCGGAACGUACCCAGUAAUGGGGGAUAACUAUCCGAAAGGAUAGCUAAUACCGCAUACGACCUUCUUUAAUUAGUUGGUGAAAGUGGGGGACCUUCGGGCCUCACGUUAUUGGAGCGGCCGAUGGCUGAUUAGCUAGUUGGUAGGGUAAAGGCCUACCAAGGCAACGAUCAGUAGCGGGUCUUAGAGGACGAUCCGCCACACUGGAACUGAGACACGGUCCAGACUCCUACGGGAGGCAGCAGUGGGGAAUCUUGGACAAUGGGCGCAAGCCUGAUCCAGCAAUGCCGCGUGCGUGAAGAAGGCCUUCGGGUUGUAAAGCGCUUUUGUCUGGGAGCAAAAGGUGGGGGUUAAUACCUCUCGCUCUUGAGAGUACCAGAAGAAUAAGGACCGGCUAACUACGUGCCAGCCGCCGCGGUAA